rnacentral:miRNA from 2 species
CUCACUGAUGAGCAGCUUCUGAC